rnacentral:rRNA from 1 species
UACGAAGGGGGCUAGCGUUGCUCGGAAUCACUGGGCGUAAAGCGCACGUAGGCGGCUUUCUAAGUCAGGGGUGAAAUCCUGGAGCUCAACUCCAGAACUGCCUUUGAUACUGGAGAGCUUGAGUCCGGGAGAGGUGAGUGGAACUCCGAGUGUAGAGGUGAAAUUCGUAGAUAUUCGGAAGAACACCAGUGGCGAAGGCGGCUCACUGGCCCGGUACUGACGCUGAUGUGCGAAAAGCGUGGGGAGCAAACAGG